AUCCAAGGUGAUUCCUUCUCCAAGGGGGACAUCCAGUGACCCUCUCAGGAAGUAGCAACUUGGAAUAGAAUAGUCCAGGAGUUCCAGGACCAGCCUGGCCAAUAUGGCGAAACCCCAUCUAUACUAGAAAUACAAAA
rnacentral:snoRNA from 1 species